CGAAGGAUAGGGUGCCUGGGGCCUGGGAGUGUGGGGAGAAAGGAGGAGGGGACACAGUUCUGAGAGAGAGGUGGGGCCGGCCCGGAGGCCUCAAUAGCUGCAGGAGCAGGAGGGUGCGAGAGUCCACGAUGGCCACGGUGCUCACGUGGGAACAGAGCCACUGCAGCAAGGAUACAGCUUCCUCGGCUCUGGCAGGAAAUAAGGUCCUGUGGACCAGGCAGUUGGGAGACAGUCUUAAGUGGUGGACAGAGCUCUGGCCAGAGACAGGAGUCCUGGGUGCUGGCUUUGCCAGUUACUCAUGGCGGGACUCUGGGCAUGCUUGGAACAUGGGAGUCCCAUCUGGGAGCCAGUGUGCUUGGAGCAGAGCAGGCAAGUGGCACAGUGCGUGCAGCAAUCACACAGGGCCUCGUGGGCCACUAACAGGACUCUGGCUUGUAUCCUGGGAAUGGCUGCCUUUGAGCAGAGCCCUACAUGAACUGAUUCAAGCUAAAUGGAGAAUUGCAGCUGCCCCGUGAACAGCCCAUGUGCCCAAUGCUGCCGGGCAGCCCGAGUGGAGCGCGAGAACUGCACCAGACGCUCCCUACCCCAGAGACUUGCCGCGCACCUGGGAGAAGCCACAGGGCAGUGUGUGUAGUGCUCAGAGCCAGGGCUUUCAAAACGGAAGAUCCCAGCUCUGUGGGCUUGAUGGCCUCAACAGUGACAUGGUGCUGGUAGCACCCUACAUGGUUGGGUUAUGGUGCAUGACAAAUUGCCUGCACAGAGUAGGCACUGAAAAUAAUAGUAGCUAGUUAUUUACAUAAUAAUACAGGGUAGCAGAGCUCCUCAUGAGAGGUGCAGGUGCUGGUGUUGGUGGUGCCGGAGGGACAUAGGCUAACCUCCAAAGAUGGCAGGACCUGGAGUCUCAGGUAGAUGAAAGAGGAAUGGGAGACGGAGCCCCGGACCUGGCAGGAAGAAGCGCAGUGCGUUCUCCACAGAGACACGAGGGUGAGGCCAGCAUGAAAUCUCAAAUGGAAGCCUCCAGAAGCUGGUGGGGGUUGGGGGGAGAUGCAGGAGAGGGCAUGGACCGGUGCAGAAUUAAGCUGGUGAGGAGGCCAGAUUCUGAAAAGCAUGAAUCGUCAAUGGCAACCCUCUAGGAAGCUUUCCUACCUGUGUGAGUCAGGUAGGUUCCCAGCCGGAACAGUCGAGUCCUGCAAAUGGGGUAACUGAGGAGAGUUUAAGAAGGGACUAUUGACAAUGUGUUUGGCUGGAUUAAAGGACACCAACAAGGGGUGAUGAAACAGCUAGCAGCAGCAGCUCAAGUCCUCGUUCCACCAUAAGUCCACAGGAACAAGGGAAGGGGGUAGCUACCAGAACUUUGCAAGACCUAUAGCUGUAAGAAGGGGCCUCCUGACAGGCUCUGUGGCCUUCAGUAGAGGACCACAGCCACAGCAGCCCCAGAUCCAUGGUGGCUGAUCAGGGAGGAAGCUGACCUCCUCCCCCUCCUGCCAGGGAAUCCCACUGGCAAAAACUCAACUGGAAGAGACAGGGCAGAGGAGGGCGGUUGGCACAGUCCUUCGAGUGAGCCUGGGGCAUGCAGCAGGGUGGGUGCAGGUGCAGAGUGCGUCUGGAGGGACAGAAGGAGAACAUCUAGCCCACCUCCCAAGGCUGUGACCCCGGAACCCUGUGCUUGCCUGGUAUGUAAUGCUGUAUUGUGAUUGGCUGUUUCCUUGUCUGUAUCUCCUCCAAGACUCAACUCUCCUGGAGGGCAGGGGCUGUGCUUUGUUCACACAUACUCAAUAAACUCCAUUGGGUAAAAUAAAUAACAAGGCUGCUCAGAUUCACCGUAACAUCACAUUUCUCUGCUUGGGAUGCAAUUAAAUCAUCUCCAUGUGGAAGCAGCGGUUAUCUUCUGCCAUCAGCAGCUUCGGAUUACCAGGUCUGUAGGCCCAACUAAUAAAACACAAGCCAGCAAAGUUAAUUAGUCAUUUAAUGAAUUCAAUUUGUCUAGCAGACAAAAAUCCUUCAACACAAGUCAUGAGGCGAGAGUGAGAACAAUAAAAGGAGUCCUCCCUGCUGAAAAUCUCUGAAAACACCCCCUCAGCCAUGAGGGCUGGGCUAUUUCGAGGGUGUUCACAUUUCUUGUGUAACUCAGAGCAGGCCAAAGUAUGGUUCUCCCAGGCCAACCAAGCCCUCAAUUUCAAAUACAUCUUUGUGGAGGAGCCCCUAUGGGUCUGCCUGCCUCUCUCGGUCUCUGCUGCCCCUAUACAGCCCGGGCCACCAAUCGAUACCUCCAAGCUAUCCGCUGCCUAAGAAGCACCAAGAGUCUCACCACCUUCCACCCCUGGCCAGCCUCACCUCCUUUCUUCUCUUUGCCCAGUACCCCAGAUCUCAUCAUGCUUCUGCUCAAAACCUCAUAAUAGCUUCUGGUUUCACUUAGAAGGCAGUCCACGUUCCUUAUCCGGCUGGGCUCCUCCCCACCCACUUCACAGUUGCACUUGGGCUGUCAGCCAGGACUGUUUCCCUGCCUCCUGCUCCUUGCUAGGACUGCGGGUCUCAGUUUCAAUGUCAUUUACUCAGAGGAGCCUUCUCAGAGUCUCCUGUUCUGUUCUCACGAUGGCCUGUGCUUUUCCACCUCAGUGCUCAGUACAACUGGGAAAAUUCACUGCAACUCAUUGUGCGAUUAAACAGGGCCUGCCUGUCCAUGCUGCUGCGAGCUUAGUGACAGCAGGUACCUGGACUGCUUUCUCAACUGCUGGAUCCCCAGUGGCCUGGUCAGUUACCUUCACUACACAUUUGUUGGACAAAUAACAAAGUAAAGGUCUUUCCUGGAAUGCCAACAAGCUUGCUGGGGAGACAAAAGCUGACAUAUAAAACUCUUCAGAACAGCACAGGGUGAUUUGGGUAUAGCUAUCUCCAGAUACCUUGGCCCUUGUUCUUGGAGUUUUAGGAAUUCAGAGAAAGGAAGAAAGGAUCUGAAGGACCUAGUGAAGACUCUCCUUGAGGCCACUCAUUUCAGGGAAGCGAAGGGAAGAGGGUGGGAGAAGUAGCUUUUGUUGUGUACCCAACAGACCAGAAAUCUAUAAUACAAUAUCUUUUUCAAGCCUCAUGAUUGGCUGAGUUUUACAAAUGAGGAAAUUAAGGACAGAGAAGUAAAGUAAGUCAUCCAAGGUCACACAGCAAGGAGGUGGCAGAGCCAAGAAUCGACCCAGGCGGGUCAGAUUCAAGCUUGCGUUCCUGUCACUAGGCAUAGGACAGGAAGUGGGGUGGUAAGAUGUCACCCCUAGGCCAAGGGGGCAGUGGUUUAAAUGGGGGCUCAGGUCAGAAAAGCAUCCUAUCUAUGGUAAUGCGGGAACCUGGCUUUGUUCUGAUACUGAACUCAGAUCUGAGACGCCACCCAGGUGUAUGUUAUAUGGGUUCUGAGAGGUCCAGCAGCAAGCAGGGCAGUUGGGCCCACCCCAGAGCAGCUGUACGCCCUUGGAGAUGGCCUGAAAUUGGCCAAGCUCUGGAAUGAGGGUCUGGGCAUUGCUCCCAGCAUCUGACCUUGGAAGGAAGCAGAAGCAGAGCUGUGGUUUUGAAGAUUUUCCUUCCCCAACGGAGACCCAUUGCAGCCUGUUAUGAAGGACCCAGCACAGGUAGAGAGAGCCAACAAGGUGGAAUGGGGGGCUCUGGCUUGGUGAGAUGGGGGAGGAGAAAGAGGGGUCACUCCUGCCAAGCUGACCUCAGCUGGGUAAUGUGAUCAGCCUGUCAUGGUUCUGAGCCCUGAUUUGGGAAGAACAAAGAGGCCAGGCCCCUCUGCCUCCUCUAGCCCAGGAAUGCAGCUGGGGGCCAGGCCGUGACCAAUGGGGAAUGCAGGUUGGGAGCGCAGCGAAUGCAGUUUGUAGAGCAAGGCUUUCAUGCACUGAUGGGAGCCCCACUCACAAAGCCAGGCUGACAUGCCCCCGCGCUUCCAACUUUGAUAUCCCAGCCCCGCCUUGGGGGAGCCGCACAUCCCCAAGCUGUCUGUGCCCAACUGCCCCGCUGUGGCCCUCGAGUGAUGAUGGGGUGAAGAGUGGAGAGCUCAGAUCCCAACUCCCCUCAACCCCACCAGGAUUCCUAGACACCAACAUCUCCUUGUCCGUCUCUCUCCACCUCGGGAUGUCUGAGGAAUGGACAGGGGGAAACAGCCUCCAGCUCCUGAGGGCUGAGAGAGAUGGAUGGAGAGACAGAAAGAUGGACCACGAGAGAGGCCGCGGGCCUCAGGCAGCCCCUGCUCUGAGCAGGUCACAGAAACUCCUUGAGGCCACCCACUCCAGGGAAAUGAAUAAUGUUAGAGGUGGGGGUUUCACUCCUGGCUUGGACAUCUGAAUACUUUCUGCAUUCCAAAGCUGCUAGCUCCCCUUCUCCAGCCCCAGUCUCUUUUCCCACUGGCCGAUUCACUCAGUGUGGGGUCCUUCAGGACUGCCCUUUUCUGCCUUCUCAAUUAUCCACUGCCCCCUCCCUCCUGGUGUCUCUGUGCUCCUGCGCUUCCUCUCCUCCUGGGUGUUAAUAAUGACAGUGCUUUACAGUUUACAAAGCACAAUCACCUGCAGUAACUCGUUUGAUUCUUAUAGGAGCCCUGUGCAGCAGGGACUCUGAUCCUCAUUGCAUGCAGGAAGAGAAGAAGGAAGAGGAGGUGGAGGCUUGAUGAGGAGGUGGUGGCCUGUGAUGGCAAGAGUGAGAUGGGGAGAAUGUCCAGCGGGAGAAGUAAGGGCCAGGAGCUUGAAGGAACUGUGAAAUAAAGAUAUUUCACCUUGAA